rnacentral:rRNA from 1 species
GACGUAGGGCGCGAGCGUUGUCCGGAUUUAUUGGGCGUAAAGAGCUCGUAGGCGGCUUGUCGCGUCGUCCGUGAAAACUCACAGCUCAACUGUGAGCUUGCGGUCGAUACGGGCAGGCUAGAGUUCGGUAGGGGAGACUGGAAUUCCUGGUGUAGCGGUGAAAUGCGCAGAUAUCAGGAGGAACACCGGUGGCGAAGGCGGAUCUCUGGGCCUUACUGCGCUGAGACGACGAAGCUAGGGGAGCGAACAGG